rnacentral:rRNA from 1 species
CCUACGGGAGGCAGCAGUGGGGAAUAUUGGACAAUGGGCGAAAGCCUGAUCCAGCCAUGCCGCGUGUGUGAAGACGGCCUUCGGGUUGUAAAGCACUUUCAGUGGGGAAGAAAGCCUUGGGGCUAAUACCCUCGAGGAAGGACAUCACCCACAGAAGAAGCCCCGGCUAACUCCGUGCCAGCAGCCGCGGUAAUACGGAGGGUGCGAGCGUUAAUCGGAAUUACUGGGCGUAAAGCGCGCGUAGGCGGUCUGAUAAGCCGGUUGUGAAAGCCCCGGGCUCAACCUGGGAACGGCAUCCGGAACUGUCAGGCUAGAGUUCAGGAGAGGAAGGUAGAAUUCCCGGUGUAGCGGUGAAAUGCGUAGAGAUCGGGAGGAAUACCAGUGGCGAAGGCGGCCUUCUGGACUGACACUGACGCUGAGGUGCGAAAGCGUGGGUAGCAAACAGGAUUAGAUACCCUUGUAGUC